ensembl:lncRNA
UAAAGUAUUAAUAGUUCAGUAAACACUUAUUUUAUUUUAUUUUAUUUUACUAUUUUUGGCUGCCCCCUGGCAUAUGGAGUUCCUGGGCCAAGGAUCAGAUCCAAGCAGAAGUUUCUGCCUAAACUGCAGGGGCAGCAAUACCAGAUCCUUAACCCACUCUACUGGGCCAGGGAUCAAACCUGUGUCCCAGUGCUCCCAAGAUGCUGCUGAUCUCAUUUCACCACAGUGGGAACCCCAUACCAUGCUUAAUUUUUUUUCCUGACUUUUCAGCAGAACAAUUUGAACAGAUAGUAAAGUUGUUGCCCUUUUCAAGUAGAUUUAAUGAGCAGAGAAAAAGAUAAAUAUGUUUUAGAGGGAAAAAAAGACCAGGAUUUGUUUUGUUUUGUUUUAAGGAAUGAUAUCAACAUGCCAUUUAUUUUUUAUCUUUCUGAACUAAAACUACAGCUGAAAGUAUUCUAGGAUAAGCUUUAGCUUAACAUCAACUAGCUGUAUUCAGCGAUUCAGUCUAUUCCCAGAGGAGCUUCUAUGGGAGCUUCUAAUACAGCAGGAAAUUUUUUAAAUGUGUGCACCAAACCUUUCACAGUAAAGAGACUAUACAGAUGCUCUAUGAAUGUGUCAAAUAGUUCCAUCAUGUUCAGUGCCACAGUGGGAAUCUAUAUGCCCAGUGCCAUGGGAAGUGGGACCUGCAAGGUAUAUUCAUUCAGUCUUCUUUUAAUAAGUGGAAAGCCCUGGCUUUUUUGGUAAAAUCACUCCCAUCUUAAAUUCCUUCUUUUUUUUUUUUUCUUUUUUUUUGGCUUUUUAGGGGUCUAAUCAGAACUGUAGCUGCCAGCCUAAGCCACAGCCACAGCAACGGGGGAUCCAAGCUGUGUCUGCAACCUAUCCCACAGCAAUGCUGGAUCCUUAACCCACUGAGCAAGGCCAAGGAUCAAACCCACGUCCUCAUGGAUACUAGUCAGGUUCUUUAACCGCUGAACCAUGACAGGAACUCCUUUAAAUUUCUUCUUGAGUACCUUCAGGUAAUCUCUAAGAGCCUCCCUGACCUUGGCAGUAUGUGCAGUUUCCAUAAGAUCCUUCAGUGUAUACCCAUCUCCUUUAUUUUUAUUCAUGUUUGACUUAAUGUCUACUCAGUUUUUUGGAAGGAUUGAGUAUUUCAAUCAAUCAUUUGUGCUUUGCAGUCGAUUCUUUAAUUAAACCUUUCCAGCCCAGUUUGAUGUUCCACUUAUAGAGUAAAAUCUGCUUUCCUUUGCAGCUGCUGC